rnacentral:lncRNA from 1 species
GUAUUUUUCUUCUUUUUUUGGCGCGAAUCAGAUAUUCUCUUUUGAUCAAUUGCAAAGAGUAAUCCUUUGAGAUGGAUAUGACCGUAACGGGUGGCAAAGCUCAAAUACAUGUGUGUAUGGAAACAUUAAUUAAAAGAGUUUUAAAAUAUGAUAAUCAAUUUCAACAUAUAGGAAUUGAUAAAGAAUCAAACAACUCCAAAGAUAAAUUUCAAAUAUAAUCAUCAUAAUAAUUAUUUCAAUUAAUUUAAAAGGCAUCCUUUCAAAAUUUGUUUGGACUUAACAUAUGUUGUAGCCCUCACUCAAACACAAACAUAUAGGAAUUGAUAAAGAAUCAAACAACUCCAAAGAUAAAUUUCAAAUAUAAUCAUCAUAAUAAUUAUUUCAAUUAAUUUAAAAGGCAUCCUUUCAAAAUUUGUUUGGACUUAACAUAUAUUUUAGCCCUUGAGACGGAGGGCGUCAAACAACAACAAGAACAACAACAAUAGAGUGUCAAGAGGUGGUUGAGGAUGUCAUACAAAAGUGGUGAUGGUGAAAGGUGGAAUUGGUGUCAUGCAAUGAUCUGUUAUG